GACGAACGCUGGCGGCGUGCCUAACACAUGCAAGUCGAACGGGGUAGAGAGCUUCGGUUUUCUACUUAGUGGCGAACGGGUGAGUAACGCGUGAGAAACCUGCCUUUCAGUGGGGGACAACAGUUGGAAACGACUGCUAAUACCGCAUAAUGUAUUCGGGGGGCAUCCCCUGAAUACCAAAGCUUUAUGUGCUGAAAGAUGGUCUCGCGUCUGAUUAGCUAGAUGGCGGGGUAACGGCCCACCAUGGCGACGAUCAGUAGCCGGUCUGAGAGGAUGAACGGUCACAUUGGGACUGAGAUACGGCCCAGACUCCUACGGGAGGCAGCAGUGGGGAAUAUUGGGCAAUGGGGGAAACCCUGACCCAGCAACGCCGCGUGAAGGAAGAAGGCCUUCGGGUUGUAAACUUCUUUUAGCAGGGACGAAGAACGUGACGGUACCUGCAGAAAAAGCAACGGCUAACUACGUGCCAGCCGCCGCGGUAACAC
rnacentral:rRNA from 1 species